rnacentral:rRNA from 1 species
GUGGGGAAUAUUGCACAAUGGGGGAAACCCUGAUGCAGCGACGCCGCGUGAGUGAAGAAGUAUUUCGGUACGUAAAGCUCUAUCAGCAAGGAAGAAAAUGACGGUACUUGACUAAGAAGCCCCGGCUAACUACGUGCCAGCAGCCGCGGUAAUACGUAGGGGGCAAGCGUUAUCCGGAUUUACUGGGUGUAAAGGGCGUGUAGGCGGGAUUACAAGUCAGAUGUGAAAACUAUGGGCUCAACCCAUAGCCUGCAUUUGAAACUGUAGUUCUUGAGUGAUGGAGAGGCAGACGGAAUUCCUCGUGUAGCGGUGAAAUGCGUAGAUAUGAGGAGGAACACCAGUGGCGAAGGCGGUCUGCUGGACAUUAACUGACGCUGAGGCGCGAAAGCGUGGGGAGCAAACAGGAUUAGAAACCCGUGUAGUCC